AUCUAUCUAUUAAUUAAUAUCUGUUAAUAUUAUAUGUCACCGUUUUUUGGGCUGAAGUUGGAGAUAAAAAUCUAUUAUAUGCAGCUGUGCCGCACGCGCACCAUAAAAACAUUGCUCUUCCUUGAUUUAGAAGCAGGUGAGCAGUUGUAGAACACUGAGCCGUUGACUGCGUUACUUUUGACAAUAAGCCACCGGACUACAGUCAUAUCGUUUUGAACCUAGAAGAAGACCAAGAGACGGGAGUAGGAAGGAUUUGACCGGGAUUGCCCAGAAAACCAUGUUACUAUAAACGAACGUUACUGACCUGGUGGAGGCAGAAUAUUUUUUUACAUCUAGGCUGAGGCUUGUUACCAGCAGGAACAUGGAGCACUCUCUGUCAGUGCUACAGAGACAGAAUUGUCCUGCGAGACUUCUGACCAACUGCCUUUCAUCUCUCCAGAGCACAGAGAAGUGAGUCUGCUGGGCAAUGGAACUCUAGAGCAGUACAUCCAAAAAACCUUCCACCCUGUUGUCAGCUAUCUGCAGAUAGUUCCCUGAUUGAAAGCCUUGAUAGUUGCAUCCCAAGGCCACAUUUUGGGGGUGACCAAAUGCAUAAAGUUUUGUAUGAACUAAUUUUCAUUUUGUUAGAUUACAAAAUACCCUUUUCAUGUCAUGUUGGUCUUCACACUAACUUCUGUGGUAACUUUUAAACAAAGACGACACAUAGGCUAAUUGGGGUUUUGACAUCAGAUGUUGUUCAGAGCUGAUAUGAGUGGUCAAAAGACCAAUUAGUGAAAAACAUAAUUGGGCAGCCUGUGUGAACGCAGCCUUAGUUUAUGCUUCAAAAGGCCUAGAGUAAAAGAGUCAUGUCUAGAUUAAUAUAUUUUUAUUAAUGUAUAUGAGAUAUAUCUAUCCCUGACCAGAUUGAAGAAUGGGACAAGUAGACAAAGUGAAUGUCUGAUUGUCUGUAGCAUAAUUUGAGUGGUUACAUACAAUACAUGUUGACAGAAUGGCUGCGAGACAGUGUUGCUGUACUCCCAGGUAAGACCCUUUCUUUCAGUACCACAGAAGGGCAUAGUUUACAUUCAGGCUGCUUUGAAGAAGUGUCACCAUCCAGGCCCAUGUCACAUCCUCUGAUGGGGAGAUGAAAUGCAUUAUGUACCUUUCAUCACCAAAGCCAUGUUAGCGUUUACUGCACAUGUUGCUGUACAAUUCAACCCUUUUGUUAGUGUCAUUGAUAUGGAAAUUCACAUUCCGUUAAUAAGCAUUGACUAAUACCUCU